UACGAAGGGGGCUAGCGUUGCUCGGAAUCACUGGGCGUAAAGGGUGCGUAGGCGGCUUUAUAAGUCAUUGGUGAAAGCUCGCAGCUUAACUGUGAAACUGCCAUUGAAACUGUUUAGCUUGAAUGUGGUUGAAGUGGGCGGAAUACAACAUGUAGCGGUGAAAUGCUUAGAUAUGUUGUAGAACACCGAUUGCGAAGGCAGCUCACUAAGCCAAUAUUGACGCUGAGGCACGAAAGCGUGGGUAGCAAACAGG
rnacentral:rRNA from 1 species